CCCAUUGGUACAGACCUCUGACCCAUUGGUACAGGCCUCUGACCCAUUGGUACAGGCCUCUGAUGAUCUUUAUACCGUAGAGAUAAUAUGUUUAGAAAUGGCAUAUGCCAACUAUUUGACCCAUUGGUACAGGCCUCUGACCCAUUGGUACAGACCUCUGACCCAUUGGUACAGACCUCUGAUGAUCUUUAUACCGUAGAGAUAAUAUGUUUAGAAAUGGCAUAUGCCAACUCUUUGUCACUGGAUUAAAGUGAAUGAUACCACUCAAGUUCAUACACUCAUAUUCAUCUCCAAACAGACAUGACGUAUAUAAUAGUCGGCUGGGCAAAAGGACCAGGUGAUGAUUAGCUGGACAAACUGCCUGACGAUGGAGAAAUCCCAAAUGGCACCCUAUUCCCUAUGUAGUGCACUCAUUAUUAUUUUUUUUAUAUCAGGGCCCAUAGUGCUCCUAUAGCGCUCUGGUCAAAAGUAAUGAGCUUUAUAGGGGAAUAGGGGGUGCUAUUUUGGACAGAGCAACGAUGCUCUGACGGGUGGAUGAACAGAGAACAGCAAUAGAGCAGAAUGAGAAAUGUUCCUCAAAGCAUAAUGGAAACAGAGGCACUACAUCAUGUUCCACGUGCAAAUCCUUCUUCAGAAACGUUUAAAACGUUUAAAAAAUAAAAAAUAAACGUUUUAUCCGAUCCCCAGUGUACUAGAAAAAGGUUAAGCUUGUUUUCAUUGACAUUAUUCUUCUGUUCACAAGGCAAAAGGACCGUUCUGUCUGUUUCCUCAUAUUCGGGUUGGAAUUAGAAUUCAUUAUUAUUAUUAUAUUAUUUCUAUUGUCAUUUCCAAUAUAUUCACAAUCCUCUCUAGCUGAAUAAAUAGCUCAAGGUACAACACUUUGAAAAAAAUCUAUCUAUGUGAUGAUGAUGGUUAAAUUCAAGUAAUGUAGAAGCUGGCCCUGUAUCAGUGUUGUUAUUGGAGGAAGCUGGCCCUGUAUCAGUGUUGUUAUUGGGGGAAGCUGGCCCUGUAUCAGUGUUGUUAUUGGGGGAAGCUGGCCCUGUAUCAGUGUUGUUAUUGGGGGAAGCUGGUCCUGUAUCAGUGUUGUUAUUGGGGGAAAUGUUUGCAGUGUUGUUAUAGGGGGAAGCUGGCCCUGUAUCAGUUGUUAUUGGGGGAAGCUGGCCCUGUAUCAGUGUUGUUAUUGGGGGGGAACAUGUAUCAGUGUUGUUAUUUGGGGGGUAGCACUAUUCACUAUCCAGAGGAAGGAAGGGUGGGGUGGUCAUAGGUCAUAGGUCAUACAGUUAGAGGAACUGAUAAUAAAAGGUGCUGUGUGCAGAAGUUGCACUAUAACUACUUUAGAAAUAUAAAUGUCUUUGUAAAUAAAUAAAUACAUGCAUAAAUAAAUAAAUGAUAAUGUUGUUAAAUAUAUAAAUAUAACCUCAACUUAAUAAAAUAAAAAAAUCUGACUCGGAUAUUAAUUAAGAUUAAAUUUGGAGGAUUUUCAUAAAUGAUGUAUGUCAGAGCUAGUGUAGAUCGUCUCGUCUACUGAGAGUAGAUACAGAGAUGUAGCUGAACCAUCAUGUGUUUCUUUCUACUAGAAAACCAGUGUGAACGAUUGAUCGAUGCCAACCCUUCUCUCGUCGCCAGGCUGUGGAUGCAUCCCAACUGGCACACGACUGUCUGCAUAGUUCACUGCAUUUGACCAGAGCAACUAUGAAAGAGAUUUCAUAGGACAUUUUCUUUUUUUUUUCUUUUUUUUCCCCUGAUGGAAUAAAUGUGUUAUUCAAUAAGCUCAGUGUGUUGCUGAUAAAUACCAUACAGUACAUCAUAAUGCAAGUCUAUAAAAUAACAAACUGGUAACUACCCCUCUCCCCGUCUCUCUUCCUCCGUUCUCUCGGCUCGGAACAUUCUGGUAAAGUAAGGAGGUUUGGGCUCAGUCCCAAAUGAUACCUUAUUCCCUACUUAGUGUACUACUUUAGACCAGAGCCUGUACCCUAUUCCCUAUGUAGUGCACUACUUUUGACCAGAGCCCUAUAAGCCCUUCUUACAGUAGCUAUGACCAGCCCUAUAGGCCCUUCUUACAGUAGCUAUGACCAGCCCUGUAAGCCCUUCUUACAGUAGCUAUGACCAGCCCUAUAGGCCCUUCUUACAGUAGCUAUGACCAGCCCUAUAGGCCCUUCUUACAGUAGCUAUGACCAGCCCUAUAGGGUCAUUCACUACAAGGCAGCUAUGACUCAGCCUUACAGUGGCCAAUGUCUUACAGCAGCUAGGAC
rnacentral:lncRNA from 1 species